AUUGAGCCUUGAUGUGUAGGAUAGGUGGGAGGCUUUGAAGCGUGGACGCCAGUCUGCGUGGAGCCAACCUUGAAAUACCACCCUUUAAUGUUUGAUGUUCUAACGUUGGCCCCUUACCGGGGUUGCGGACAGUGUCUGGUGGGUAGUUUGACUGGGGCGGUCUCCUCCCAAAGCGUAACGGAGGAGCACGAAGGUUAGCUAAUCCUGGUCGGACAUCAGGAGGUUAGUGCAAUGGCAUAAGCUAGCUUGACUGCGAGCGUGACGGCGCGAGCAGGUGCGAAAGCAGGUCAUAGUGAUCCGGUGGUUCUGAAUGGAAGGGCCAUCGCUCAACGGAUAAAAGGUACUCCGGGGAUAACAGGCUGAUACCGCCCAAGAGUUCAUAUCGACGGCGGUGUUUGGCACCUCGAUGUCGGCUCAUCACAUCCUGGGGCUGAAGUAGGUCCCAAGGGUAUGGCUGUUCGCCAUUUAAAGUGGUACGCGAGCUGGGUUUAGAACGUCGUGAGACAGUUCGGUCCCUAUCUGCCGUGGGCGCUGGAGAAUUGAGGGGGGCUGCUCCUAGUACGAGAGGACCGGAGUGGACGCAUCACUGGUGUUCGGGUUGUCAUGCCAAUGGCACUGCCCGGUAGCUAAAUGCGGAAGAGAUAAGUGCUGAAAGCAUCUAAGCACGAAACUUGCCCCGAGAUGAGUUCUCCCUGAGACUUUAAGUCUCCUGAAGGAACGUUAAAGACGAUGACGUUGAUAGGCCGGGUGUGUAAGCGCAGCGAUGCGUUGAGCUAACCGGUACUAAUGAACCGUGAGGCUUAACCUU
rnacentral:rRNA from 1 species